rnacentral:rRNA from 1 species
GGGGAAUAUUGCACAAUGGGCGCAAGCCUGAUGCAGCAACGCCGCGUGAGUGAAGAAGUAUUUCGGUAUGUAAAGCUCUAUCAGCAGGGAAGAAAGGCUCUUCGGAGAGAUGACGGUACCUGACUAAGAAGCCCCGGCUAACUACGUGCCAGCAGCCGCGGUAAUACGUAGGGGGCAAGCGUUAUCCGGAUUUACUGGGUGUAAAGGGAGCGCAGACGGCAGUGCAAGUCUGAUGUGAAAGCCCGGGGCUCAACCCCGGAACUGCAUUGGAAACUGUACAGCUUGAGUGUCGGAGAGGUAAGCGGAAUUCCUAGUGUAGCGGUGAAAUGCGUAGAUAUUAGGAGGAACACCGGUGGCGAAGGCGGCUUACUGGACGAUGACUGACGUUGAGGCUCGAAAGCGUGGGGAGCAAAC